rnacentral:lncRNA from 1 species
AGGUAUGAGCCUUGCAAGAAGACAUACAUAUUUUGCUGAUUGCCAAGGGGAUAAUGCAUUGGGUAUAAGAAGAAGGAAAGUAGAGGAACCAAUUAAGAAAUAUUUACUACAAUUAAGAAGAGAUGAUAAUAACUUCGACCAAGGUGGAGGCUAUGAAGAUGGAGCAAUGCGAAUACAUGGAGACAUGUUUUUGAUGUAGACUCAGCAAGAAAUUCUAAUAUAUUAGAUUUUAUGUUUUGGGAGAAAAAGAGACAUCUCCAAGAUUAUGGCUUGAAUAGAUUGGGACUAAUAGUGAAACUUGAGAGUGAUCACAUAUGGAGAUGAAAGAUUGAAAGACCUCUCGCUGAACAUAAUAUAGAAGGUCUAAAAUACUCUCAAGUCCCCUCCAUCUCAAAAUGACAGCAGUAACAGUGAAAACUAAACAUAGCUGUACCAAGAGGAAAGGCCAUAUGAGGACAUAGCAAGAAGGUGGCUGUAUACAAGUCAGGAAAAGAGGCUUCAACAGAA